rnacentral:lncRNA from 1 species
CAUCGUUUAAAACAUUCUUCCUGAUAAUUCCUUGUUUAAAGUAAAGAACGGAGAGCGGACUUGUCUUCGUUGGUACACAACAGGGACCGUUAUGUGGACCGCCUUCACAUCUACCUCGACAAUAACCAGUUCGGUACCGAAUUGGAACGAGAAUAUUCGAUGCAAUCUCUUUCAACAUCACUGCUAUUUUUUGCAUGCAGCAGCGCGUUUCACCAGGAGUACAUUGCAGAGGAGUUGGUGGAGGAAUAGGUGAUAUUUCCAAAUAAGGUGGAUUCUGGAUUUUGUCCUUUGAGGAAGAGCACUUUCGAGCUUUAACUCUGAUGGUCAGUUGUGCCGUAUCCAUGGUUUUACAUACUUCUUUUACGUUCCUCAAAACCCUCUCGGUUAGUUCGGAGACGUCAAAUGAAAUCCGUCUUUCAUCGUUUGGGUCAUGGUACUGCCCAUGAAGAAGCCCAUGGUAAGGUUUUUUCAUUGCAUCGACGCAAUUUAAAUUAUCUUUAUCGCUGUUUGAGGAGUCAACCUUAACUUCAAAACGAAGAGGACAUCCGUGCUUUCCGUUGAAAAGCAUCAAUUUGAUCACAAUUGGCUUCCCAAUAAUUUCAGCAGCUUUGACAAUAAAUUUCAGCGUGUUCUUCCUGUUGUUUGCU